rnacentral:lncRNA from 1 species
ACCCUUGAGCCAACAUAAUUUCGCCAACGUUUGACGCUGGGGAAAUCUUGUCAAGAUUUUUGGUCCCCCUUGUAAAAAUGAAACGUGCGUCGUAUUUAUAGGGUUUUCGCUGUAUCAAUUUCCACCAACGAAGACAUUUUCAUGGAAUUUAAUUCAAAAAGUAAAGGACGGCUACAUAAAACGUAUUGGACACGACACAACGAUAUAGUACGUAUCUUCUUCCGAAUUUACAUCGAUAGCGUAAUGAAUUUUUUCUAUAAAUUAAAUACGUUGAUAAAUAUUCGAUAUCUGCAAUUCACUUACCUAUAUCUCUUUCCCUCGUCAAUCUGAACAAAUUUUUUUUUAAAUUAAUACAAUGGCGAAAGUUCUUGAAAUGAGGUUCUCAACGGAAGUUGCUCCACAAAAGUUUAUCCCUAUUCCAAAAUGUUCACCGGCUAAAAAGUUGGACUCCAUCAACGAAGAAGAAGCUUAUGUAUCAACCAUUUCAUCUUCUCUUGAUAGAAAACUCGAACGCGACAGGUACCACGGAGGCUGUAUUUUAGGUUACUAGGUUAUGGCCUGAUAUAAUGGCGGAAACAGAAUUUUCAUCAAAACACCUUUCGCUUCCCUAGCUCCGCCCGUGGUCUGAGAUUCCAACUGCCUAUAAAAUUGUCAUCAAGAAAAUAAAAGCUUUGCCAGUCUUUACACUGCAGCAAGUGCCAAGGUUUAAUUUGGAGGAAAUUCUUUCCUUUUCUUGAUUUUUUCCUCAUUUUCUUUUCAUUUUUUUUUCUUUUGGUGAGCUUAAUCAUUCAUUCACAGCCUGCAUUUUAAUUGCAGUGAAUGAGCUCUGAUCAGGAAUUUUUAUUUUUCUUGGGAUUUUUUUGUCAUCUAUGUUGAAUAAAAAAUUUCCUAUUUAGGCAGUCGAAUAUAUGGAAAGACUUUCUAUUUCUAGCUACCAGCAGGAGAGUAUUCUUUACUUUAAAUUAACUCCAUCUUAAAGGUAAUUAAAGGUAGCUUUGAGGAGGUGAUUAUGCAGGAUAUGAAAAUGCUCCAGAUUUCCGAGGAUAUGGGACUUGAUAGGAAUAUAUGGAGAUUUUAUAAGUUAGGAGGUAAUUGAAUUUUGUCAUGUACCAUAACUUUGGGAGGCUAGUUUGAUAGGGAUACUAUUUUGUUUUUGCUUUGUAUCACCCUUUUAUUUUCGUGUUGUUUCUAUUUUUUAUAUUCACUAGUGAAAUUUUACUGAAUCAUCGUCGUUGUUGUUGUUUCCUGCUUCUCUAAACUUUGGAAAGAUAUACAAGACUUUCUUAUGACGACCUGCACAAGAAAUUCAAAACAUCUGUUAAAAUAAUUACUACCCAUAAUUCAUGAAGCCGCUGAAAAAUAAGACAAGUAAAUGUUUAGUGUUUGUCAUAAUUUUUCUAUUAUAUUUAGUUUUUCUAUCUGUUGAAGGAAAAAAAGAGUAAUAUAAUUACCUUAAU